rnacentral:lncRNA from 1 species
CUCCUCCCCAUCACGCUCGGCCAGGUGUUCCAGCGGAUCGACGUCGUCAGCCGCGACUUCGACAACAUCGUCGAGCUCGAGCUCGGCGCGCCCUGGCCGCUCCCGCCCGUCGAGGCCACCGCCACGCUCGCGCACAAGUUCGAGGUCGUCGGUGAGUCCCCCCUCCCCUCCCCUCCCCUGUACUUCGAGAUCAUCUUGUGAACGAAACAACGAACACUGACGCGCACGGACGCAGGGACGUCGGGCAUCAAGAUCAAUUUCGAGAAGACGACGGUGAAGACGAAGGGGAGCCUGUCGCAGCUGCCGCCGCUGGAGGUGCCGCGGAUCCCCGACAACCUCCGGCCGCCGUCCAACACCGGGAGCGGCGAGUUCGAGGUGACGUACCUCGACGACGACACGCGCGUCACCCGCGGGGACAGGGGCGAGCUCCGGGUCUUCGUCAUCGCGUGAGCUUGGCGUCUGAUGGCAGGCACGGCCACGAAGUGAG